rnacentral:rRNA from 1 species
GACGAACGCUGGCGGCGUGCCUAAUACAUGCAAGUAGAACGCUGAAGGAGGAGCUUGCUCUUCUGGAUGAGUUGCGAACGGGUGAGUAACGCGUAGGUAACCUGCCUGGUAGCGGGGGAUAACUAUUGGAAACGAUAGCUAAUACCGCAUAACAGUAGAUGUUGCAUGACAUUUGCUUAAAAGGUGCAAUUGCAUCACUACCAGAUGGACCUGCGUUGUAUUAGCUAGUUGGUGGGGUAACGGCUCACCAAGGCGACGAUACAUAGCCGACCUGAGAGGGUGAUCGGCCACACUGGGACUGAGACACGGCCCAGACUCCUACGGGAGGCAGCAGUAGGGAAUCUUCGGCAAUGGACGGAAGUCUGACCGAGCAACGCCGCGUGAGUUAAGAAGGUUUUCGGAUCGUAAAGCUCUGUUGUAAGAGAAGAACGAGUGUGAGAGUGGAAAGUUCACACUGUGACGGUAGCUUACCAGAAAGGGACGGCUAACUACGUG